AAGUCGUAACAAGGUAACCGUAGGUGAACCUGCGGUUGGAUCAUUACAAAUAUUGAAAAGGUUCUUGUUGAUCUUUAUGGUCAGCGAGAGCCUUUUCCGUCGGCUCCAUUGAUUGAUCAAUGGUUGAAUGCCUUCGACACCCUUGUGAACCAUGUUUUCGCCUCUUUUGGCGAAAAACAAACUCGUUUUAUUGUUAUACCUUGCUGAACAAAAAAAAUAAUAAUGAGAAACAACUUUAGACAACGGAUCUCUUGGCUCUC
rnacentral:misc_RNA from 1 species